rnacentral:rRNA from 1 species
GAUGAACGCUGGCGGCGUGCCUAAUACAUGCAAGUCGAGCGAACAGACGAGGAGCUUGCUCCUCUGACGUUAGCGGCGGGCGGGUGAGUAACACGUGGAUAACCUACCUAUAAGACUGGGAUAACUUCGGGAAACCGGAGCUAAUACCGGAUAAUAUAUUGAACCGCAUGGUUCAAUAGUGAAAGACGGUUUUGCUGUCACUUAUAGAUGGAUCCGCGCCGCAUUAGCUAGUUGGUAAGGUAACGGCUUACCAAGGCGACGAUGCGUAGCCGACCUGAGAGGGUGAUCGGCCACACUGGAACUGAGACACGGUCCAGACUCCUACGGGAGGCAGCAGUAGGGAAUCUUCCGCAAUGGGCGAAAGCUUGACGGAGCAACGCCGCGUGAGUGAUGAAGGUCUUCGGAUCGUAAAACUCUGUUAUUAGGGAAGAACAAAUGUGUAAGUAACUAUGCACGUCUUGACGGUACCUAAUCAGAAAGCCACGGCUAACUACGUG